CGCGCACAACUUCCCCAAUCCCCCGUCGCUAACCCCCUCGCUAUCGCUAACGCCCUCGCCACAUGCACGCCCCCCGCUUCGCCUCUCGCCACAACCGCCCGACCACGCCGCCGUUCGAUCUUCCCCUUCUCACCAGACGCUCGCCCCGCCGCCGUCCCUUAUCCCCCUUCUCGCCAGCGGCCGAGCAGCAGCUCCGCCCCCGACGGACGCCACCGGCCGAGCGGCACAUCCAACCGCCCGAGCAUGCCGCCGCUCGGCCCCUUCCCCUUCUCACCAGACGGUCGCCCCGCCGUUGCCCCUUCUCCCUCUUCUCGCUAGCGGCCGAGCGGCACCUCCGCUGUAGGGGGGCCCGGGCCGGCCGACCGAGCCGCAGCAGCGCGCCCCCGACGCCUCGGCCUGGGAGAUCCCCUCGACGCGUUGAAGCAGAUGGGAUAGAUCCAGUGGAAGCUGCCGGUGGUCGCCUCUUCGCCGGCGUCGAGGACUACCGCAUCCUCGAUUGUCUAUUCUUUUGACUGUUGGGCGACAGAUCUCCGUUCACGCAGCAGAACUGGUAGGGGGACAUCCUCAACUGUGACGAGGAGAACAGCAGGAUCGAAUGCAAGGUUCUUGAUCCACACUUUUCGCCACAACCUGGAGUGGAGGUUGGUUGAAAACAUUACUGUUUGUGGUAUACUUUUGCUAUGUUGAACAUUUUCCAGCACUGUAAGCAGAAAUGAUUAUUUGAUGAAAAAUGUACUUCAUUGUACAGAAAGUAUUAUAUGAUGGUUUAACCUCAGUAUUAGGGCAUCUGAAUCAUAUAAAUUACCUGAAAAAUUGCUCCCUGGUAGUAUUGAUGAGCAGUCAGCAAAGGAUGUACAUCUUGUAGGUUCCAUUGCAGAGAAACAGGCACAAAUUUUUACAGAGGAGUGCAAGCCUUUUCGUGAAGACGUCCAAAUACAAUCAAUUUACCCCUGUGCAAGUGCACCCAAUUUGAUGUUUUUGUCUUACAAGGUGCAGAUUUCUAGCAACCAUAUAAUUACGAAAUGGUCAGUUAUAGCAGAACUAGAGUUGAAGCUCUCUUGAGUAUAUAUCAAAAAGAUGUCAAACCUGCAACAGAUGGUUCAGGAGCUAGCCUUAAAGUAUACAUUUGCAGUAACAGGGUAGUCUCUGCUGCCCAGUAUGACUAUAUUCCGAACAAAGAUGAUAUGCCGAGACAGAGCUGAAGUUGAGGAAACAUUUGCAAUCGUUUCUCAGAAUAGUAAAACCCUUCAAUUUGACAUACAGUGAGGAUGGCGCAUAGAAUUUAACCUCCCAAGUAGACUAUCUCCAGCAGAGGAAAAACUUUAGCCGAAUCGAGCUCCGCACCCAGGUGGUCGCUCCGGCGGCAGCAACACAGUCAUCGUCAUCGGUGUUGAUGAGGAGCGUAGGCACAAAGAUGACGCCUAGAUUGACACCCAGGAGCAGUCGAGGAGCGGCACUCUAGCCGGUGCCGCCACGCCAUCCCUCAGCCAGUGCAUGCCAAUCAAAUGAAGGCGGACGCGAAGAACAACAUGACCAAGAAGUAGGCGAGGGUCGAGGCGAGAAAGGACCACCGGGUAGCCCGGUCGGCGCGACAGGUGGAGCGCAUCCGGAAGAUCGACCGCAUGUCUUCCCAGUUCCAGUGUUGCGACUGAUUCCUGUGCUGAAAACUAAACAAAAUUCAGAUUGCAUCUGAUAUGCAACCUGAUUGAAGAAGCCACAAGGUCACAGUGCAAGCUUCUGGGACAAAAUGUAUAUGAAAUUAUUUGAAUCAAUGUACUGUAGGUGUUGCUUUGCUUUGUAGUCUGUACAAUCUGAAUGGUUUUGACUUGAGCUACAGUAGCAUGUUACAAUUUGAAUCAAUGGCCUGCUGACUAAUGUACUCAGAACUUGGAAUCAUCUUUUCUUUAAGCUUAAUGGUAACUUUAGAAACAAGAAAAAAAACAUGAGCUAAUACUAUGAUCUUUUAUCUUCACAUUUAUUGGCACUUAUUUUUUGGUGUUAUUAUUUUAUCUCACUACUUUCUGGUUGCUUCCUAGCUUUUCUUGAAGAACAAAUAUUAAAUUGUGAAUUCAUUUGAGACCUUGUCAUCUUAUUAUUUUACUUGUAUUUGUUAGCCCCCUUUGUUACACUACUCUGUUGCAUCUGAUCUGAUGCAGUCGUGGUGACAUUCUGAUUGGAUGAUUCUGAUAUGUUAGCCUCUUUAGUUACACUACUCUAUUUGUUAGCCCCAAGUUGAUGCUGCUUUUUUCAACUGAUCUCAAUUCAGAUAUGUUGUUCGAAAGACUCUUUCAGAACAUGAGGUGAACCAUUUGCUACUUACCUCUUAAUAUAAUCCUGCCAAUAUGAUGCCUUGUAUUUCUGACAAUUAUAUUGUCAUUCCAGGUUAUAUCUGAUGGAGAUUACAUUCUUGGCCCAUGAAAAAAGGAAAUUCCAAAUAUUUUAUGCUAGGAAAGUUCUACAAUCUACAACACUGAUUAAAAGGCUGCUCAAAUUGUUUGGCACUUCUUGUUUUAAAUUUAGUUUUUUUACUGUUGUUCCUGUGUUGAUUGGAAUUCCAUUGGUUCCACUAAAGCUUUAUGAUGCGUGAUCAUAAAUUGCUCAAGAGAUCAUACAAGACCUGUGGUGGUCUGCCUACACUAGCAUGUUAGUAGUGCUUAGCAAAACAUGUUCAUAAUUCAUUCUUGACUAUCCUUUGAAGUAUGCUACAAUUCUACAUUAGAUUAUCAUGACAAAUAAUUGCAUGAUUGGCGGUCUUGACUUAGUAUAAGUAAUACAUCUUUAGGCGGGGAUCUGAUUUGGAAGGCGGUUGUGGAAGAAAUAGAAUGUCAAUUGCACAAUUUUCUUUUUUUUGCUACAAUUAUGUAAUUAUUAUGCAUUUUCGGGUUUCAUUUCAUAGGUUGGUCUUCAAAGUUUCCGAACACAAUUAUCUCUACAGUGUAAGACCAUCUUCUCUCCUAAAUUUUGUGAACUACUGUUGGUUUUUUCGUGGUGAUACAGUUUCAGACUUGUCAUGAAAAUUAUACGACUUGGAUCAAGUGAUACUUUUCAUGUGUAAUGAUACUACCGCAGAAGCAAAAUGAUUAAUAGUACUUAUAUGUGGGCGUGUCCUUGUAUAGAAGGAUGAUGAUGGUUUAAAUAAAUUGGUUUUACUAGAAGUACUUUCCGAAUUAUGAAUUAUGCACUUCUCAUGAAUUUGUUGUAGUCAAAGGAAGGAGGUGAAGAUACAGGAGUGGGAGAACUGCCAGAAAUCCAAAUUCAAAGCCAAGUUGAGGCAUGCAGAGGUGAAGGCGCGGACGAAGAACAUCCUGACCAAGAGGAUGUCCACAUUGAGCUACAAGGUGGAGAGGAAGCAUGCAAGGGUCGAGGUGAGACGGAACCGACGUGCAGUCCGGUUGGCGCGACAGGUGGAGCGCAUCUGGAAGACCGGCCGUGUGUCCCGUGUAUCCCCGGUGCAACCAAAAUAUCUUUCUAUACAUAUUCUCACAUAUAUUUGUAUAUUAGUCAGACGUGCAUUUGCACGUGCAGGCUUACUAGUUUUUUUCUUAAUGACAGAGGAGAGAUCUUACAUGAAAACUGUGUUGUCUUGGUAAUAUUUUUUAACGUGGGCAAGUUUUUUUUAGUAAAUGACGUGGGUGAGAUAACUUAUCAAGGGCAAUGGUGGGUAAUUUCUUUACCUUUUAAUACAUUGGCUAUGGUUGCCUAAUUAGUUUAAAUUGAUGGCCAGAUGUUUCUAAUUAUUGUAGGAUUUUCUAGACUAAUUCUCUUUUUUUUUGUUAUCUCGUUAAGCAUUUUUUAUAUAUAAUAGAUAGAUGCAGAAUUGUAAAGAAGGAACAAUGUGGAACAAGUUCAUCGUUAAUGAUUUGUGUUCCGUGCUAACAAGCUAUGCAUUUCAGCUAACUCCGUUCGUCUUUUGUUGUUGAAGGAGGCGCAUGGAGGAGGAUUAAUGCGACACUUUGGUGUAAAGAAGACUGAGGACGUACUUGCUACACAUUUCUUUUGGCUAAAGAUGAGACAGGAUGUUGAGCGUUUUAUUGCUCGCUGCACUACAUGUCAAAAAGCUAAGUCACGACUCAAUCCUCAUGGUUUAUAUAUGCCUUUGCCUGUACCUAGUGUUCCUUGGGAGGAUAUAUAUAUAUAUAUGGACUUUGUUUUAGGUUUACCUCGAACAAAGAAGGGGAGGGAUAGCAUAUUUGUUGCCA